rnacentral:lncRNA from 1 species
CAUGAUCCUAAUCACAUGGUGAAUUACCAAACUUUAGAGGUACAAAAGGACCUGUCUUACGAAGAAACACCAAUGACGAUUUUAGACAGGAAAGUGCAUCAACUCAGGAAUAGAGAAGUUCCACUGGUCAAGGUGCUAUGGCGUAAUCAUGGACUGGAUGAGUAAACAUGGGAGAAGGAAGAUGAGCUUAAAGUCAAAUAUCCAGAACUCUUCGAUUAGUUAAGGUAAAUUUUCGAGGACGAAAAUAUUUUAAGUAGGGGAGAUUGUAAAGCCCUGAAAAAAUUUUAUAGAAUAGAAUUAAUUGUUUUAAAUUCUCAUUUCUUUGAGUCAAAUAAUUAGAUUUAAU